UACGGAGGGUGCAAGCGUUGCUCGGAAUUAUUGGGCGUAAAGGGUAGGUAGGUGGUCUCAUUUGUCUGGGGGUGAAAGCCUUGAGCUUAACUCAAGAAGUGCCCCAGAAAACGGUGAGACUGGAGUCCUGGAGAGGGUCGUGGAAUUCCCGGUGUAGCGGUGAAAUGCGUAGAGAUCGGGAGGAACACCAGUGGCGAAAAGCGGCCACCUGGACUGCACCUGACGCUGACACGCGAAAGCUAGGGGAGCGAACGGG
rnacentral:rRNA from 1 species